rnacentral:rRNA from 1 species
AACGGUAACAGGGGAGCUUGCUCCCGCUGACGAGUGGCGAACGGGUGAGUAAUGCAUCGGAACGUGCCGAAUAGUGGGGGAUAACGCACCGAAAGGUGUGCUAAUACCGCAUACGCCCUGAGGGGGAAAGUGGGGGACCGCAAGGCCUCACGCUAAUUGAGCGGCCGAUGUCGGAUUAGCUAGUUGGUGGGGUAAAGGCUCACCAAGGCGACGAUCCGUAGCGGGUCUGAGAGGAUGAUCCGCCACACUGGGACUGAGACACGGCCCAGACUCCUACGGGAGGCAGCAGUGGGGAAUUUUGGACAAUGGGGGAAACCCUGAUCCAGCCAUGCCGCGUGUCUGAAGAAGGCCUUCGGGUUGUAAAGGACUUUUGUCCGGGAGGAAACCCUGAUCGUUAAUAGCGGUCGGGACUGACAGUACCGGAAGAAUAAGCACCGGCUAACUACGUGCCAGCAGCCGCGGUAAUACGUAGGGUGCAAGCGUUAAUCGGAAUUACUGGGCGUAAAGCGUGCGCAGGCGGUGAGAUAAGUCAGCUGUGAAAGCCCCGGGCUCAACCUGGGAACUGCGGCCGAAACUGUCUCGCUAGAGUACGUCAGAGGGGGGUGGAAUUCCAC